rnacentral:rRNA from 1 species
CUGGCGGCAGGCUUAACACAUGCAAGUCGAGCGGAGAGAGGUAGCUUGCUACUGAUCUUAGCGGCGGACGGGUGAGUAAUGCUUAGGAAUCUGCCUAUUAGUGGGGGACAACAUUUCGAAAGGAAUGCUAAUACCGCAUACGUCCUACGGGAGAAAGCAGGGGAUCUUCGGACCUUGCGCUAAUAGAUGAGCCUAAGUCGGAUUAGCUAGUUGGUGGGGUAAAGGCCUACCAAGGCGACGAUCUGUAGCGGGUCUGAGAGGAUGAUCCGCCACACUGGGACUGAGACACGGCCCAGACUCCUACGGGAGGCAGCAGUGGGGAAUAUUGGACAAUGGGCGCAAGCCUGAUCCAGCCAUGCCGCGUGUGUGAAGAAGGCCUUAUGGUUGUAAAGCACUUUAAGCGAGGAGGAGGCUACUUUAGUUAAUACCUAGAGAUAGUGGACGUUACUCGCAGAAUAAGCACCGGCUAACUCUGUGCCAGCAGCCGCGGUAAUACAGAGGGUGCAAGCGUUAAUCGGAUUUACUGGGCGUAAAGCGCGCGUAGGCGGCUAAUUAAGUCAAAUGUGAAAUCCCCGAGCUUAACUUGGGAAUUGCAUUCGAUACUGGUUAGCUAGAGUGUGGGAGAGGAUGGUAGAAUUCCAGGUGUAGCGGUGAAAUGCGUAGAGAUCUGGAGGAAUACCGAUGGCGAAGGCAGCCAUCUGGCCUAACACUGACGCUGAGGUGCGAAAGCAUGGGGAGCAAACAGGAUUAGAUACCCUGGUAGUCCAUGCCGUAAACGAUGUCUACUAGCCGUUGGGGCCUUUGAGGCUUUAGUGGCGCA